GAUCCUGGCUCAGGACGAACGCUGGCGGCGUGCUUAACACAUGCAAGUCGAACGAAGAGCGAUGGAAGCUUGCUUCUAUCAAUCUUAGUGGCGAACGGGUGAGUAACGCGUAAUCAACCUGCCCUUCAGAGGGGGACGAACAGUUGGAAACGACUGCUAAUACCGCAUACGAUCCAAUCUCGGCAUCGAGACUGGAUGAAAGGUGGCCUCUAUUUAUAAGCUAUCACUGAAGGGAGGGG
rnacentral:rRNA from 1 species